AGCAGUCGCCGCGGUAAUACGUAGGUGGCGAGCGUUGUCCGGAAUCAUUGGGCGUAAAGGGAGCGCAGGCGGGCAUGUAAGUCUUUCUUAAAAGUGCGGGGCUCAACCCCGUGAUGGGAAAGAAACUACAUGUCUUGAGUACAGGAGAGGAAAGCGGAAUUCCUAGUGUAGCGGUGAAAUGCGUAGAUAUUAGGAAGAACACCAGUGGCGAAGGCGACUUUCUGGACGAAAACUGACGCUGAGGCGCGAAAGCCAGGGGAGCGAACGGGAUUAGAUACCCCUGUAGUCCCUGUCUCUUAUACC
rnacentral:rRNA from 1 species